UACGUAGGGUGCGAGCGUUGUCCGGAAUUAUUGGGCGUAAAGGGCUCGUAGGCGGUCUGUUACGUCAGGAGUGAAAACUCGGGGCUCAACCCCGAGCCUGCUUCUGAUACGGGCAGACUGGAGGUAUGCAGGGGAGAACGGAAUUCCUGGUGUAGCGGUGAAAUGCGCAGAUAUCAGGAGGAACACCGGUGGCGAAGGCGGGUCUCUGGGCCGUAACUGACGCUGAGGAGCGAAAGCGUGGGGAGCGAACAGG
rnacentral:rRNA from 1 species